UUAGAAAAUGGGUGCAUACUCCAUAUUUUCUGAGGUUACUUAAGAACUCAUACACAAGAUAACUAUAAAUAAGUUUUACUUAUUUAUGACAUUAAAAAGUGUAGCAAAGUACGAACGAUUUACUUUCCUAGCAAUUUAAAUUGAGUAUAAAAACAUACAUACAGAUAAAUGGCUUGAGAGCAUAAAUUUCAUCAGAAGUAUCGAGUGACUUUGUUAACACAAGAAUAUAUGCUUCUGUCAUAAUCAACUUCAUUAAGCUACAAAACUAGCUUAAAAUAGUAAGGCGGUGAGAAUAAAAUUCCUCAUUGUUCGAUGUUCAUGGCAUUGAUAGCUUGUUCAUUUUUAAAAUCAAGAACCGCUCGGUCAAAGGUGUUCCUAACAUGCUGGCACAUCAACAUUAGAUCCUGGCAUGAAUAUUUCAAUACUUAACUUGCUGGAUCUCCUGCAA
rnacentral:lncRNA from 1 species